UUUGAUGAAAGCGCCGCGAACUGACGGAAUAGUUCGUUGAAGUACCUACCUAUAAGAUCCGCAGGCAAAUCCACGGAUCUUGGGGAAAUACGAUAGUACUCGGAGUCUUCGGACAAAGAGAUAGUGCGCCUAAGGGCUUCCAAGAAAAACCUCUAAACUUCAGGUAAUUAGUACCCGUACCGCAAACCGACACAGGUAGUCGAGGAGAGAAUCCUAAGGUGCUCGAGAGAUUCAUGGCUAAGGAAUUAGGCAAAAUAGACCCGUAACUUCGGGAGAAGGGUCGCCCCGAGUAAUCGGGGCCGCAGUUAAGAGGUCCAGGCGACUGUUUAUCAAAAACACAGGGCUCUGCAAAAUCGUAAGAUGAAGUAUAGGGCCUGACACCUGCCCGGUGCUGGAAGGUUAAGAGGAGAUGUUAUCUUCGGAGAAGCAUUGAAUUGAAGCCCCAGUAAACGGCGGCCGUAACAAUAGCGGUCCUAAGGUAGCGAAAUUCCUUGUCGGGUAAGUUCCGACCUGCACGAAUGGAGUAACGAUCUGGACACUGUCUCAGCCAUGAGCUCGGUGAAAUUGUAGUAACGGUGAAGAUGCCGUUUACCCGCAGUGGGACGAAAAGACCCUGUGCACCUUUACUAAAGCUUAGUAUUGACCUUGGAUAAAUGAUGUGUAGGAUAGGUUGGAGACUUUGAAGCGGCGUCGCCAGGCGUUGUGGAGUCAUUGUUGAAAUACAACCCUUUGUUUAUCUGAGGCCUAACCCCAUACUGUGGGGGACAUUGCUUGGUGGGUAGUUUGACUGGGGUGGUCGCCUCCAAAAGAGUAACGGAGGCUUCUAAAGGUUCCCUCAGUACGCUUGGUAACCGUGCGUAGAGUGCAAUGGCAUAAGGGAGCUUGACUGAGAGACAUACAGGUCGAUCAGGUACGAAAGUAGAGCAUAGUGAUCCGGUGGUUCCGCAUGGAAGGGCCAUCGCUCAAAGGAUAAAAGGUACGCCGGGGAUAACAGGCUGAUCUCCCCCAAGAGCUCAUAUCGACGGGGGGGUUUGGCACCUCGAUGUCGGCUCGUCACAUCCUGGGGCUGGAGAAGGUCCCAAGGGUUGGGCUGUUUGCCCAUUAAAGUGGCACGCGAGCUGGGUUCAGAACGUCGUGAGACAGUUCGGUCUCUAUCUACUGUGGGCGCAAGGAAUUUGAGUGGAUCUGAUUCUAGUACGAGAGGACCGAAUUGGACUAACCGCUGGUGUAUCUGUUGUCCCGCCAGGGGCACCGCAGAGUAGCUACGUUGGGAAGGGAUAAGCGCUGAAAGCAUAUAAGCGCGAAACCCACCACAAGAUGAGAUUUCUUUUAAGGGUCGUGGGAGAUGACCACGUUGAUAGGCUAUAGGUGUAAAGGCAGUAAUGUCAUAGCCGAGUAGUACUAAUAACCCAAU
rnacentral:rRNA from 1 species